GAUGAACGCUGGCGGCGUGCCUAAUACAUGCAAGUCGAGCGAAUGACGAGGAGCUUGCUCCUCUGAUUUGGCGGCGGACGGGUGAGUAACACGUGGGUAACCUGCCUGUAAGACGGGGAUAACUCCGGGAAACCGGAGCUAAUACCGGAUGAUAACGAGAAGCGCCUGCUUCUUUUUUGAAAGUCGGUUUCGGCUGACGCUUACAGAUGGGCCCGCGGCGCAUUAGCUAGUUGGUGAGGUAACGGCUCACCAAGGCGACGAUGCGUAGCCGACCUGAGAGGGUGAUCGGCCACACUGGGACUGAGACACGGCCCAGACUCCUACGGGAGGCAGCAGUAGGGAAUCUUCGGCAAUGGACGAAAGUCUGACCGAGCAACGCCGCGUGAGCGAUGAAGGCCUUCGGGUCGUAAAGCUCUGUUGUCAGAGAAGAACAAGUACCGGAGUAACUGCCGGUACCUUGACGGUACCUGACCAGAAAGCCACGGCUAACUACGUGCCAGCCGCCGCUGUAA
rnacentral:rRNA from 1 species